rnacentral:rRNA from 1 species
AUUGAACGCUGGCGGCAGGCUUAACACAUGCAAGUCGAGCGGAGAUGAGGUGCUUGCACCUUAUCUUAGCGGCGGACGGGUGAGUAAUGCUUAGGAAUCUGCCUAUUAGUGGGGGACAACAUUCCGAAAGGAAUGCUAAUACCGCAUACGCCCUACGGGGGAAAGCAGGGGAUCUUCGGACCUUGCGCUAAUAGAUGAGCCUAAGUCGGAUUAGCUAGUUGGUGGGGUAAAGGCCUACCAAGGCUACAAUCUGUAGCGGGUCUGGGAGGAUGAUCCGCCACGCUGGGACUGAGACACGGCCCAGACUCCUACGGGAGGCAGCAGUGGGGAAUAUUGGACAAUGGGCGGAAGCCUGAUCCAGCCAUGCCGCGUGUGUGAAGAAGGCCUUUUGGUUGUAAAGCACUUUAAGCGAGGAGGAGGCUACCUGGAUUAAUACUCUAGGAUAGUGGACGUUAUUCGCAGAAUAAGCACCGGCUAACUCUGUGCCAGCAGCCGCGGUAAUAC